UGGGGAAUCUUGGACAAUGGGCGCAAGCCUGAUCCAGCCAUGCCGCGUGUGUGAAGAAGGCCUUCGGGUUGUAAAGCACUUUCAGUAGGGAGGAAGGCUUUGGGCUAAUACCCUGGAGUACUUGACGUUACCUACAGAAGAAGCACCGGCUAAUUUCGUGCCAGCAGCCGCGGUAAUACGAAAGGUGCGAGCGUUAAUCGGAAUUACUGGGCGUAAAGCGCGCGUAGGCGGUGUGUUAAGUCGGAUGUGAAAGCCCAGGGCUCAACCUUGGAAUUGCAUCCGAUACUGGCACGCUAGAGUGCAGUAGAGGGAGGUGGAAUUUCCGGUGUAGCGGUGAAAUGCGUAGAGAUCGGAAGGAACACCAGUGGCGAAGGCGGCCUCCUGGACUGACACUGGCGCUGAGGUGCGAAAGCGUGGGGAGCAAACAGGGUUAGAUACCCUGGUAGUCCACACCGUAAACGAUGUCUACUAGCCGUUGGGGUCCUUAGUGACUUUGGUGGCGCAGCUAACGCGAUAAGUAGACCGCCUGGGGAGUACGGCCGCAAGGUUA
rnacentral:rRNA from 1 species